ensembl:lncRNA
CUGACAAUCAUCCCAGCAUCCAGGUAAGUUUCCAGGAGCAACCAGUGGUUUACAAAGGCACUGAAAUACUCACUGGCUCUACACUGACAUAAUCUUCUUCAUGUCUUUUUCGGAUUCCCUUGAAUAGGGGUGUGGGGUGCCAAGAAGGCUAUGGACAGAACCUCUUGCAAAUGUCUGCUCACACCAGUGACCCUCCAGUGAGCCUCAGCCUUUGGACUGGUGCUGCUUCCCUGCUCCUUCUGGUUCUACAGCAUCCAUCUUCUCCUUCGACUCUCUAGCACACAGAUGGCCAUUGUGGACUCCACUAUCUCUGAACCCUCAGAAGCUAUUGUGGACUCUCCUGCCUCUGAUCCUGAGGGCUGUUCUCAUGGUUGAGGCUGUUGCUUAUGGAAUUUCAAUUCUUCAUCUGGCCUCUUGGGCUCACUCUGUGCAUGUCAUGCCAUUUGACAUCACUGACAGAGAGUUUCACACAAUGGAUUUCUCUGGUGUUAUUUCCAAGAAAAGCUGAAGGGCAAUCUUCCUUUUAUUCUACAAAACAGGAAAGAGGGAAGUCAACAAGCAUUAACAUAUCCUGCAAACAGAGGCUGAGCGACACACCAGCACAAUCAAAUGCCUAGUUCCCUGGGUGACUUGUACUGUCUUCUGAGGAGUGCAGACUCUUCACCUUCCAGCACAGACCCUUUGGCCUCCUGAUACAGACUCACAUGGGGCACCACCACAUGGAGCUCCAGGCCUUCGAGUUGAUCCUUCAGAUCCCCAGUGCAAAGACCUUUUCCACUCUUCUACACCAGACUCUGUGGGUGGCCAUGGUAAGCUGAUCUUGUAAAUUCUUAUGUAUUUAUAUACCUUGUAUUAUAUAUAUUUCUCUAGUAAACACUGACUGAUACAGAUGGGAAGCAAGAUUUCAAUUUUCC